rnacentral:rRNA from 1 species
AGCGAACGCUGGCGGCAGGCUUAACACAUGCAAGUCGAACGGGCAUCUUCGGAUGUCAGCGGCAGACGGGUGAGUAACACGUGGGAACGUACCCUUCGGUUCGGAACAACUCUGGGAAACUGGAGCUAAUACCGGAUACGCCCUUAUGGGGAAAGGUUUACUGCCGAAGGAUCGGCCCGCGUCUGAUUAGCUAGUUGGUGGGGUAACGGCCUACCAAGGCGACGAUCAGUAGCUGGUCUGAGAGGAUGAUCAGCCACACUGGGACUGAGACACGGCCCAGACUCCUACGGGAGGCAGCAGUGGGGGAUAUUGGACAAUGGGCGCAAGCCUGAUCCAGCCAUGCCGCGUGAGUGAUGAAGGCCUUAGGGUUGUAAAGCUCUUUUGUCCGGGACGAUAAUGACGGUACCGGAAGAAUAAGCCCCGGCUAACUUCGUG